GACCGGAAGCACCUAUUGUGUCUAGUCUGACGCGACGCUGGAGUAGGCUGCCCUCUACAACACAUCUCCGCGGUUGACCGAGAAAUAAUGAUCACUGAGAAGCAGCAGCAGCAUCGGCGGCAGCGGCGACCGCAGCCCGGGCCCAUGCAGAGCGUCGCUCCCCUGCUCCCCUCUCCGUGAGCCGUGAGCAUGACACCGCUCCGGCCUCCUCGUUCUAGCCGCACCGACUCUCGUUCACCGCUCGCAAGAUGUAUUUCAACCGGAGAGCCAAGAAGAUCCACAGCGAGGGAGAGCAGUUAGUGUUGACCACCAUUAGGCAGGAGUCUCCUGAGCUGCAGGACCCAGGCCAGGGCGCCGGUGCUACCAUGCGUGCCCGCCUCGCAGACAGGUUUGACAAAACCUCGCCUCUCUCCCAUCAAUCCAACGGUGCAGGACCUGCUUGCUCGUCCGCCGGUUACCGCAAGGCAGAUGAUGAGAUGUCCGGGACCACUUCCCAUGCGGAUCCCGUAGACGCCUCGGCGCGGACGGUGCUCCUCAACCGGCCUCAGAAUACCAAGUUCUGCGACAACCAUGUCAGCACCACAAAGUAUGGGAUUCUCACCUUUCUGCCCCGCUUUCUGUACGAGCAGAUCAGACGUGCUGCCAAUGCCUUCUUCCUGUUCAUCGCACUCAUGCAGCAAAUCCCUGAUGUGUCACCGACCGGUCGCUACACCACGCUCGUCCCGCUUAUCUUCAUUCUCACAGUGGCCGGGAUCAAAGAGAUCAUAGAGGACUAUAAAAGGCACAAAGCAGACAACACGGUCAACAAGAAGAAGACAACAGUGCUGCGGAGCGGAGCCUGGCAGACAUUUAUCUGGAAACAGGUGGCAGUAGGAGAUAUAGUGAAGGUGACUAAUGGCCAGCACCUCCCAGCUGACAUGGUUAUAGUGUCCUCCAGUGAACCACAGGCCAUGUGUUACAUUGAGACCUCUAACCUGGACGGAGAAACCAACCUGAAGAUCAGACAGGGUCUCCCACUCACAGCCGGGUUUCAGACCCUGGAGGAUUUGAUGGCACUGUCCGGUCGUCUGGAGUGCGAAGGCCCCAACAGACACCUGUAUGACUUCACUGGCACACUACGGCUGGAAAACCAGAAUCCAGUCCCUCUGGGUCCAGACCAGGUGCUGCUGCGUGGUGCCCAGCUCAGGAACACGCAAUGGGUUGUGGGAAUUGUUGUCUACACUGGCCAUGACUCCAAACUGAUGCAGAACUCCACCAAGGCGCCACUGAAGCGCUCUAAUGUGGAGCGGGUGACCAACAUGCAGAUCCUGGUUCUGUUUGGCAUCCUGCUGGUCAUGGCACUGGUCAGCUCUGUGGGCGCAGCCAUCUGGAACAGAGAACACACAGACGAAGCCUGCUGGUACCUGUCCCGGGCCGGCGACAUCUCCCUGAACUUUGCAUAUAACCUACUGACGUUCAUCAUCCUGUACAAUAACCUGAUCCCCAUCAGCCUGCUGGUCACUCUGGAGGUGGUGAAGUUCACACAGGCUCUCUUCAUUAACUGGGAUGUGGAGAUGUACUACACGGAAACGGACACGCCAGCCAUGGCGCGAACGUCUAAUCUUAAUGAGGAACUGGGCCAGGUCAAGUAUCUGUUUUCCGACAAGACUGGAACUCUGACCUGUAACAUCAUGCACUUUAAGAAGUGUACCAUAGCCGGGAUAACGUAUGGCCACUUCCCUGAUCUUGACUGUGAGCGUUCAAUGGACGACUUCAGUAAUCUGCCAUCCAGCAGCCACAACUCCACAGAGUUUGACGACCCAACUCUGAUUCAGAACAUCGAGAAGGACCAUCCUACAUCACCUCAGAUCUGCGAGUUCUUGACGAUGAUGGCGGUGUGCCACACGGUGGUUCCAGAGAGGGAGGACGACCAGAUCAUCUACCAGGCCUCGUCCCCUGACGAAGGAGCACUGGUCAAAGGAGCCAAAGGGCUGGGCUUUGUCUUCACUGCCAGGACCCCACAUUCAGUCAUCAUUGAAGCUAUGGGGGAAGAGAAGAGCUAUGAGCUACUGAAUGUGCUGGAGUUUUCCAGUAACCGUAAACGGAUGUCUGUGGUGGUCAGGACACCCAAUGGGAAGCUCCGGCUGUACUGCAAAGGAGCGGAUAAUGUUAUUUUUGAACGCCUGACUGAAGCGUCUCAGUACAAAGACUUAACAGUUGCUCAUUUGGAACAGUUUGCUACUGAAGGCUUGAGGACACUGUGCUUUGCGUACGUGGACCUGGAGGAAGAAGUGUAUCAGGAGUGGUUAAAGGAAUAUAAUCGUGUCAGCACCAUAAUCAAAGACCGCGCUCAGAAACUUGAGGAGUGUUAUGAGCUGCUGGAAAAGAACUUAAUGCUGUUGGGUGCCACAGCCAUCGAGGACCGUCUCCAAGCUGGCGUGCCAGAAACAAUUGCCACUCUGAUGAGGGCUGAUAUCAAGAUCUGGGUCCUCACUGGAGACAAGCAGGAGACUGCCAUCAAUAUAGGUUACUCCUGUCGCCUGGUGACACACGGCAUGUCCCUCAUCAUCGUCAAUGAGGACUCGCUGGACGCUACUCGUGACACGCUGACAGCUCACUGCUCCUCCCUCGGCGAGUCUCUGAAGAAGGAAAACGAGCUGGCGUUGAUCAUCGAUGGCCAGACAUUGAAAUACGCCCUGUCCUUUGAGCUCCGCCAGGCCUUCCUUGAUUUGGCAUUGUCCUGCAAAGCUGUCAUCUGCUGCCGGGUGUCUCCGCUGCAGAAGUCUGAGAUCGUGGAUAUGGUGAAGAAACACGUGAAAGCCAUCACGCUGGCGAUCGGCGACGGCGCGAACGACGUGGGGAUGAUUCAGACGGCUCACGUUGGAGUGGGGAUCAGCGGCAACGAGGGCAUGCAGGCCACCAACUCCUCCGACUACUCCAUCGCACAGUUCUCCUACUUAGAGAAGCUUCUGCUGGUCCACGGGGCGUGGAGCUAUAACCGCGUCACAAAGUGCAUCCUCUACUGUUUCUACAAGAAUGUGGUCCUCUACAUAAUAGAGCUCUGGUUUGCCUUUGUGAACGGGUUCUCUGGCCAGAUCCUCUUUGAACGCUGGUGCAUAGGCCUCUACAACGUGAUAUUUACCGCUCUGCCUCCGUUCACUCUGGGGAUAUUUGACCGGCCGUGCAGCCAGCAGAACAUGCUCCGCUUCCCGCAGCUCUACCGAAUAACCCAGAACGCCGAGGGCUUCAACACCAAAGUGUUCUGGGGGCACUGCAUCAAUGCACUGAUUCAUUCAAUUAUUCUCUUUUGGUUUCCACUCAAAAUGUUAGAGCACGACUCUCCCUUCAGUAACGGUCAGGGAAACGACUACCUGUUUGCAGGAAACAUGGUCUACACAUAUGUGGUCAUUACAGUGUGUCUGAAAGCUGGAAUGGAGACCACAGCUUGGACCAGGUUCUCCCACCUGGCGGUAUGGGGAAGCAUGGUGCUCUGGAUCGUCUUCUUCGGUGUCUACUCCGCCAUCUGGCCCACCAUCCCUAUUGCUCCUGACAUGCUGGGCCAGGCUGGCAAGGUGAUGCAGUGCUGGCACUUCUGGCUGGGCCUGGUCUUGGUGCCUGCCGCGUGUUUACUCAAAGACUUCGCUUGGACGGCCGCACGCCGCUCUGUGAGGAAGUCUCUUCUCGAGGAGGUGCAGGAGCUGGAGGCGCGGUCUGUUGACCCAGGCGCAGCUGUCCUUAGAGAUGCCAGCAGCCGCAGGUGGACCAAUUUAAACUGCUGUACUGAUCUGUCUAAACGAACGGGCCCAUCUGCUGACAAGAGUCUUUAGGAAAACACCUUCAAGUGUAGGACGCUCAAACUCUGUGCAGCAGACUGUGUCACAUGGCUAUGCCUUCUCUCAGGAGGAGCAUGGUGUGGUGUCUCAAUCCCAGGUAGUGCGCUCUUAUGACACCACCCGCCAGCGCCCCAGCCUCUAGCCCCAUCCCGGAUCAAAGCUUUGGCUCACCGAAGCAAGAAUUUGUCAAGGUGACAGCGGAGAUAGACUUAAGUGACACCCUCACGCCGGGUGACCGACCCCUGCUGUGGCCUUACUGGACAGUGACCUGACCCCUUGCCGGGGACGGAAGUCACGGUCAGGCAUGGAGGCCGUCGCUGGCGCUUGGAGGACUGACUCGGGAGAAGGGACCAGGCCGGAUAUACGGACUAACCAUUGUUAUAACUCACAAAGGCUGCACAGGCAUGAGCAAUCAUAUCCAUGCACAGACGUGACAAGUCAAACUCAGAGACUGCUACUCAUAUCUGUAUAUCCCUCAGACUGGGUUUGCUUUAUGCCUACGUGUGUGCGCGCAAGCGUGUGUGUGUGUGUGUGUGCGCGUUCCAGUGCGUCUCUAUCUGCCUGUGCAUGUGUGUCUGCACGCAUUGGCGCUCCCGUGUUUGUGUGCAUGCGUGUGUCGAUCCAUGUGCGUUCGCAUCCACGGUUCCCUCUCAUUUCCCGUCUGUCAUCACGUGCCGAUGUGGAAGGGGACGUCAAAAUAAAGUCGCACUCGCUCGCUCGCUCACACGCAUACAGGCGCGAAGAAUUCCUUAAAAUUAGACGGUGGGAAGCAUAUACCGAGGACCCGCCAGAGCCCUGCACCCCCAGCUACAGGCCCCCUCUCUCUCUCUCGUAACAUCUCAGCAUCGAGCCUCACUGCCAAACACCAUAGAGAUGCCACUGAGGCAGAACGCUCACCAAACCGGACCACAACCCUGCCACAGCCCCUCCUACCCCACUGAGACCUCCUCUUGCUUUAGCUCUCCCUUCAUUCCUUCCUUCUUAUCUCUCCAUCUCAUAGCCGCUUUGCAGCCUCCGUGUCCCUCUCCUCCCUUUCACAAGUUUAAAGAAAUCCAUUUUGUUUUAUUUUCUGACCGCUCCCGUGACUCCAGACGCCGCCCGUCUACCACCGUCAGCUGACGUGGAGGCAGCAUGACUGGCAUUAGCGCUUCCUCUUUUAUUUCUGUUGCAUUUCCACUCUUUACUGGACUGUUUCUUUCUCUCUGUCUCUCUCUUUUUUUAAAUUAAAGCAAACAUCAAUGUGUAUUUGUUUCUAUUUUUUUUUCUCUUUUCAUUAAUGCCUGUUUCUUUUGUACUCAUAUGUGAAAACAUGUCUUAGCGGGAGUAUUUUACUUGAAGUUGCCCUAAAAGGCACCCAACCAGAAGGGAUUUGAUUGAGAUGCUCGCAUGGAUCAUGUGUUGUUGUUUUUUUUUUUGUAGCUUUGGGGUUUGUCUGAAUGUAGAGUCCAUUGUCUGUGAGCUCUGUGUUGAGGACACUCUGGUUCAGGAAUGCAAAACUGAAAGGGGAUGGGCGAGAGGGGUUGUCCUAAUCAUUAAAUCUAAUCAAUCCAU